rnacentral:rRNA from 1 species
GACGUAGGGCGCGAGCGUUGUCCGGAUUUAUUGGGCGUAAAGAGCUCGUAGGCGGCUUGUUGCGUCAGCUGUGAAAACCCGCAGCUCAACUGUGGGCUUGCAGCUGAUACGGGCAGGCUUGAGUUCGGUAGGGAGACUGGAAUUCCUGGUGUAGCGGUGAAAUGCGCAGAUAUCAGGAGGAACACCGGUGGCGAAGGCGGCAUCCUGGACCGGCAUUGACGCUGAGGAGCGAAAGCUAGGGGAGCAAACGGG